AGAGUAUAUCAGUGCCCGAUAAUACUCAGGAAAACAUUUGGAGAAGAUAGAACAGUGAUGGUACAGAUUCAGAGGAGAGCAAAAUACUUCAUGUUCCAGAAGAACCUAGACAGAUUUCUCCAAAUGCAUCUCUACUUGUUUGUCAUUCACACUGACAUGAGAACCUCCGAACCUCCUCUUCUUGGUAAAGUAAUAGUGGCAUUUAACAGACCUCCUGAGAAGCCUAUUGUUGGAGCAACAUAGCGAACAUAUUAACAUAACAUCUCAGGCAUGAGCCUGAGCAUACACUGCCUUGCUAAUCACCUGUAGUCAGUUUGACACAGAGCUCCACCUACUUGGAUAGGCAUCUGACAAGGUACCAAGAUCUAUCUGUAGCCAGAGGGAUAAAACUGAGUUCACCUCCAACCUGUAAGACAGGUGUGUACAAAAUCGGAAAGGGGAAAAAAGAUCAAUUAUACCUCUAAUGAAAAUCCGAUGGAUGACUAUA